AAAGGGUUUCUAAAAAUCAAAAUCUCUCUCUGUCUCUCUCUCUCUGUCUCUGUCUGUCUCUCUGUCUCUCAGCGAGUCUUCCUGCCAGUGAUACAGCUUCUGAAAACACAGAGAACAUUGAUGAAGAACACACCAACUGCUGUCAGAACUGCUGCUCCCGGGUGAUGAAGAUCAGCUGCUGUCGGACGCUGCGUCGCUGGAAUCGAGUCUGUCGACGAAACUGUCGCACCGCCGUCAAGUCGGUGACGUUCUAUUGGCUGGUUCUGCUGCUCGUCUUCCUCAACACCUCCCUCAGCGCCUCGGAGCACUACAACCAACCUGAUUGGCUGACACAAGUCCAAGGUAGCAACACACACACACACACAUGGAAUACAGUUCUUCAUCAUGUGUGAAUGUUUUAAUAAUACAACAGUUUGUCCGUCUAGUUCACAGACAUCGGGACAUUUCUCCUCCUGAAAACUUCUCUCUAAAAACAGACGUCAGUGAACGCACCACGACACGUUCAACAGCAACACCAAUGCAACAAAUAGAUAUAUAAUUAUCAAUAGUACAAUAUAUAUGUAUUUAUUUCAUCGUGCACGUUCUGCUGUUUGCUGUCCCCUUUUUAUAAUGUUUAAAAAGAGCGAAGCUGAAGUAAAAGUACUACCAAAGUGUAGAAAUACUAUGAGC